rnacentral:rRNA from 1 species
UACGUAGGGUGCAAGCGUUGUUCGGAAUUACUGGGCGUAAAGGGCUCGUAGGCGGCCAACUAAGUCAGACGUGAAAUCCCUCAGCUUAACUGGGGAACUGCGUCUGAUACUGGAUGGCUUGGAUCCGGGAGAGGGAUGCGGAAUUCCAGGUGUAGCGGUGAAAUGCGUAGAUAUCUGGAGGAACACCGGUGGCGAAGGCGGCAUCCUGGACCGGUAUUGACGCUGAGGCGGCGAAAGCCAGGGGAGCAAACGGG